GGAGCAAUGUAUUCCAUCCCGUGCUGCUGCACUUUUUUUUUCUGUAGCCUAUGCCUACAAAGGGGGAUAAGUCAAUUUUUUUAAGUGGUGAAAAAGAGGCUAAGGGGGGAAAUUACUCGUGCACAGUGCUCCCUUAUAAAGAGAUGAUCGUGUAGGUGGGACAGAACCAGACUUUUCUCAAGAUGCCCAACCACAGCAGAAGCAAGAGCUAUACUUGAUGAAAAGGAAACUUGGCUAGACAUCCCAAAAAAUCACACUGAAGAUGCAGAGUGGCUGUGAAAUCUCAAGCACUGAAGAUGUUUAAAAUUCAAGGUACAAGGUCCCAGAGAACAGGAUCUGACUUAGUGCUGUUUUGAGCAGGACUAAGGGGACUCAACAGGAGGAAAAGCAUAUACUUUCAGAGUCAUGCAAGAAGCCCAGUCACGUUAUACCAGUGGAGACUUCAGUGUGUAAGGACCGAUUUCCUCAGAGGGAGUAAACAUAAGUGAUGUCCACUGAGGUCUAUGAGAAGUGUCAAUUUUUAUUACUGCGAAGAAAUUAAAGGUAGGUCACCACAAUUUUAAGACCAGAUUUUUAAUUCUCCUGUAUGAAAGGUACUGAAGGAUAACUGCAGACACAUCUAUCCACUUAGGUAUCUGAAAACUGUUGCUAAAGCUCCGUAGAAAAUCAGGUCCUCAUUGUUUUAUGUGUCUCCUUUGUUAGUUACAAGGAUCAGAUUUCUUUUGCUAUCCCACAGUGCUAAUAUGUGAUGCUGUGUUUAUUUUCCAGGUCAAGUAGUUUCAUGCACUGGAAAUUUAACUUUGAAGAAAUAAUAUGAGAGAAAAAAAAAAAAAGAAAAAAAAAAAAAGGAUAAUCUUAAAUCUACCAAGUUUAAAGGGAAGAGAAAAAAGUUGUGUUCACAUGAUUAACUGUCAUAAGCACAGUACAUACCAUCAGAGGUGCCAAAGCCCAACUUGAAAGGUUUUAAAUGUUUCAAGCUGUGCAAGCAUGCGUUUCUUCAAACAGGCAGAACUGAUUAUGAUGAUCACAGGCAGAACCUUAGUUAAACAGAGGAUGUGCAAUUUUUGUAAAUCGUUAUACAGUGAUUACUAACUAUUGAAGUAAAUGGUUCAAAUGUUUAUUAGCAAAGGAAACUUUUUUCUUUUUUUUUUUUUCCUUCUGUAACCCUGCAAAGGAAAAGGAGUGUUGCAGGUGAUGAAGAAAAUACUUGUCAUCACAAAAAGCUCAUGUUCUUAACUCUUAAAAAAACUGUUACUGGACUGAACUACACAUGUCAGCUGGAGAAUCCUGGAAGAAGCCCGAUUUUCAAUAAAUGACUUUCAAAGCAAGGAACAUACACAGAGGAGAAUUUAGAGUGGGAAUGAGUUACCCCCCUCUGAAUUAUUGCAUGGUUGUGCUGUUUGAUGUCAAGAGGCCUUUGCACUGCUCUGGAGUAGAUAUACCAGUAUUUUUCCUCCAAGCUCUGUCUCCCCAUCUGGCUCCACACUUGGUAUGUGUUAAAUUUAUUUUCAAGGAUGAUGAAAAACAUUCAAGAUGACCUAAUAGAUGUGUAUAAAAUAAUGAAGGAAGUGAUAAUGAUGUACAUGGUAAAACAUCUUCUUCCAUCCAAGUCGUUCAACAGCCAUGAAAUGUGGCAGAAAUGGUCAUAACAUAAGCAGGAAUAAAACCCAGUAAGGAUCUGUUUCAAUAAGAGAUAUAAACACCUGGAAAAAAUGGUCGCACUGGGCAACGAGAAACAAAUUGCAGUAGUAAUUUAAGUGCUUUCAAACUGUAUUUAAAAAAAAAAAAAAAAAAAAAAAAAGAAAGAAAGAAACACUGGACAGAAGGAAUGAGAUAAAUAAAACAAGAGAAUAGAAAAGACACUUGAACACAUCCCUGUGCAAGCUGCAUGGGGAAUAAAAGUGACUGUAAAAGAGCAACUGUUUAUUAUUAGCAGUUAUCAUCAUUUAUUUGCAUGAAGCCAAAUGUAAAUGAAGCCGAAGCCAGGUACUUACAGUGCAAUUGUAAGUACAUGCUUGCUUAUAUGCUUUACAAGAACAAAUCCUGCUUUCUCACCUUGAGCAAUGACUGUUCAAGAUGAUGGCACUGACAUAUUACGCUUGACCACUCAUGAAGUAUGCCAAACUUUCAGAGAUUAAGACUUUUACUAAGAACAUUUGCUGCUUUACUAAGAACAUUUGCUGCUUUAAAAAAAUCCUUCUGGCCUCUCAAACUGAUUUCACAGAAUCAUAGAAUGGCUUGGUUUGCAAAGGACCUCAGGAAUCAUCAAGCUCCAACCUGCCUGCUGCAGGAAGGGCUGCCAACAUCCAUAUCUAAUACUAGACCAGACUGCCCAGGGCCCCAUCCAACCUGGCUUUGAACACCCCCAGGGAUGGGAUUUAUUCCUUUUAAAGUCUGAUUUGAGCCUGAACUCCAAAUCUAAAACCUUGAAGAUGUAUAUUUUUCCCCUAAAUCUGAAACUUGGACUCUUCUCUGGUACUGACUCUUAAUUUUGGUGCCACAACAAUUUACACUUGUUAAAUGUGUGACUCUCUGUUUAUUCCCUAUAGACUGAGCUGAAAAAAAGGCAAAAUGUAACCUAUGCCUACAUAUGUUUUGAGAGAGCUUUUGAAAGUAAUAUUAAAUAAGUAAUAUUGUUAAAAGUAUGGAAGUACAUUCCGUUUCCUCUUGAAUAGCUCCACUGUCAGUUCUGUUAAUUGUUGCCCUGAGGCAAAAUGCUCAUGUGUACAGAUAAUACUACCCAAAACACACUGGAUGACAACCCUCUGUUUAUACACAGGACUUCCCUCUGUCCAAGUUUCUCUUCUACGUCAUAACAAGCUGCUUUUCAUGUUGUUCUUGACAGAUUGUGCCUCAGGGCAAGAAGCAGGGUGGUACAAGUACCUACAUGUACAGCUGACACAUGCUUUCAUCAUAUUAUAGACUUCAGUACCUUUUCAUUCUCUGUAUCUGAAAAGUGUAGCAUGAUAUAAAAGGCACAGUAUCAUUAUUUUUAACCAUUUUAUCAUCUAUUUUGCAGUUGGACUUGAUCUUUUUCCAACCUGAACAAUUCUAUGAUUCUACAAUUCUAUGAUGAGUAACAAGAGAUUAACUCAAAUGCUUACAUAUUUAAACUGCUGUUUGAGCAUUUCAAAAUUGAUACUUGCUUGUUCAAGACCUCAUUGCAACAAUUUCAGAAGAGGAUCUUCAGUAUAAAAUACUGAUUUCACUCAUUAUAACACCAGACCAUGACAGAAAUCUCUGACUUAGAUCUGUGCUGAACUUUGGCUUACCUUGAACAAAAUUUAAAUAUCAACAUGUUUUGUUUCCAGAGUAUCUCCAAUUAAUAAAUGCAUUCAUUUGAAAACACUUCACCUCAAGUUCCUCCAGGUCCACCUUUUAAAUAAAGGCCUAUUUUCUCUUCCUGACAUCAUUCGCAGCAAAGACAGAUAGAUUGUGUGCAGAGUUUAUUACAAGAUCGAUCAAGAUAAUUGAGGUAUAAUUUUCUCAGUGAUUUCUGUCAUCAUUUUUAAAGGCAGGGAUGAUUAUGUUUCUCUUUCACCCAUCUGGGAAAACACACAGUGUUCUCAUGUAAUUUGAACAUUUCAGCAAGGAUGUGAGACCAUCUUUUUGGAUGUAACUAAUAGCUCUGCCAUUAGGCCAUCCUCUCUCGAGACUUCAUUUUUCUUAUUAAUAAUCAUCAACACUAUCUCUUGUUCAGAAAAAAAAGAAAAAGAAAAAGAAAAGAAAGAGCCACACCUAAGACUUUUUCUCAUUGGCAUAACAGCCAAUUUCAAAUUUAAGAUGUGGCUUAUGCUUAUGACAAUUCAAAUGCUCCCUAUGAAAUCUCCAGAGAGAAUCCCUUUCUUUUUUCCCCACUUUUUUUUUUUUUUUUUAAGAAUGUUUAUUUAAGUUACUUUUGUGGGUUUUUUUUAAGGCUAUUUCAAAACUAAACUCCAAGUCCCCUAAUUUUGCUCAAGUAACCACAUGAAAUUUUCUAAUUUACACCAAUUUUUCCAUGCCAUAAUUUAAGUGAAUUAUUCUUAAUUACAUCUAACCUUUCAGUAGAACAAGAUCCUGACUGUCUACUUUGUUAUUUUUCUCUUGGUCUUUUUUUUUUUUUUUCCUUGUGUACUAUUCUGUUUUGGUAACUGUGAUAUCCUCUAUCACAAAAAGCAUUCUGAAAAGCAUCUGAAAUACAAUUUCUUUGGUCCAAUAUUCAAUAAAUUUCUGGAUCUGUGAUGGUAAUGCUCAGUUUUACUGUCAUCACCUAUAUUCCAAUCGACUGUAACCAUUAGUACUCUACCCAGGAAUUUUGUUUCAAUCACUUUCACCUCUUAACACCCGAAAGGAAUAAGGCUUCAAGUUGAAGUUUUGGCCUUUGCUUAUUACUAAGAUAAAACCAGGACAUCAAAUAGGUUAACAACACACCCAUGAUGGUAUAUUAUUGUCUAAGUAGUUUGUAUUAUUGUUUUGAAUCCUGGUUUUAUUAUUCUUCCAUAACCGACAGAGUUAAAGCAUUACUUCUGGAUAUGAGACCUGUGAUCUCCAAGGAUGUUUGUGAUGUAAAUAUACUUAAGCUUCAAGGUCCAUCUCUAAGCAUCUAUGUCCACAUUAAACAUUCUUUGUGUUAUAUAUCUAUAUACAAACAAUUUCUGAUGUAUAAUAAACUUAUUCAGUUACAGCUUA
ensembl:lncRNA